GGGGGGGGGGGGGGGGGGGGGUGGGGCAGGGAGGUGGAGGGGAGGGGGGAUGGUUUUGUGGGGUGCUCGAGUGGCGAACGGGUGAGUAACACGUGAGUAACCUGGCCUUGACUUUGGGAUAACUUCGGGAAACUGGGGCUGAUACCGGAUAGGAGCUCCUGCUGAGUGGUGGUGGUUGGAAAGUUUCGGCGGUUGGGGAUGGACUCGCGGCUUAUCAGCUUGUUGGUGGGGUAGUGGCUUACCAAGGCUUCGACGGGUCGCCGGCCUGAGAGGGUGACCGGCCACAUUGGGACUGAGAUACGGCCCAGACUCCUACGGGAGGCAGCAGUGGGGAAUAUUGCACAAUGGGCGGAAGCCUGAUGCAGCAACGCCGCGUGCGGGAUGACGGCCUUCGGGUUGUAAACCGCUUUCGCCUGUGACGAAGCGUGAGCGACGGUAAUGGGUAAAGAAGCACCGGCUAACUACGUG
rnacentral:rRNA from 1 species